AGUAAAUAGUUAACUUUGAAACUGCGAAUGGCUCAUUAUAUCAGUUAUAGUUUAUUUGAUGAAGAAUACUAAUUGGAUAACCGUAGUAAUUCUAGAGCUAAUACAUGUAUAAAGUCUUGUAGACUGCAUUUAUUAGAAUGAAAACCAUAGGUUUCGGCCUAUUCGUGAGUAAUAAUAACUAAUCAUAUCGUAUGCUUACGUAACGAUGUGUCUUUCAAGUUUCUGCCCUAUCAGCUUUCGAUGGUAGUGUAUUGGACUACCAUG
rnacentral:rRNA from 1 species